rnacentral:rRNA from 1 species
ACUAUUGGAAACGAUAGCUAAUACCGCAUAAGAGAGACUAACGCAUGUUAGUAAUUUAAAAGGGGCAAUUGCUCCACUAUGAGAUGGACCUGCGUUGUAUUAGCUAGUUGGUGAGGUAAAGGCUCACCAAGGCGACGAUACAUAGCCGACCUGAGAGGGUGAUCGGCCACACUGGAACUGAGACACGGUCCAG